rfam:Sorghum bicolor cultivar BTx623 chromosome 6, whole genome shotgun sequence.
GUAGUCGGAUUCACAUCAAUCCACAUGUGUUGGUGUGGAUUGGUAUGGAACUUGAACUAAAUUCCACCACAAUCUACUCCAAUACAUGUGGAUUGACGUGAGUCCGACA